rnacentral:lncRNA from 1 species
CGAGUCCGGAACGACUACAGCAGGAGAUAGACGAGAGCACCCGGGAAGAGUCGGCGCCGCUAGUGCCGGGACCAGGAGCCUCCGCGAGCAAGAUGGCCGCUCCCGAGACCGAGGCCAGGGGGCAGGGGUACUAAGUCCGGACCCGCGUGCCCUUCUCCCGGCCGCCUGCGCCCUCAUCAAGACCUCGCGCUUCUAGCCAAGACAUCUACAUGGAUUAUUCUCGCCGUGGUCACGAGGCCGUUCCAAUAGAGCUCUAGUUGGCCCAGAUUGAGAACUCUGGCAUUUGGCUGCUCUGAGCUGGAACCUCCGGGAGGUCUGCUGCAACAGUGAGCACAUCAACUUCACCAUGUUGGUUGGUAGAAGAGUUUGUGGUGACCGAAGAGUGUACUCCGUGUUCUAACUUCCAGAUUAAAACGACACCUGAGUGUGGUUCUACAGGGUAUGUGGAGAAAAUCACAUGCAGCUCAUCUAAGAGGAAUGAAUUCAAAAGCUGCCGUUCAGCUCUUCUGGAACAACACUUAUUUUGGAAGUUUGAAGGCAUCGUGGUGGGGGUAGCUUUAGUCUUCGCUUGCCUUGUCAUCAUUCGUCAGCGACAGCUGGACAGAAAGGCUCUUGAAAAAGUCCGGAAGCAAAUUGAAUCCAUAUAGCUGAAUCUGCUGUGUAUGGUGGGUCCCACGGAUGCAUCUCAGAUGGAGAAAGUUCAGGGCUAAUGUGCCCUCAUAAGCCUUGUGGUAGUGCAUCU